AUGCUUCACACAGGUACACCUGUCUGUCUGUUUCCUGUCUGUCUGUUCACCUGUCCAUCUGUGUGUCUGUGUUACCAUCUGAUUACCUGUCUGUCUGUCUUUGUGUCUGUUUGCUCACCUGUCUGUCUGUUCAUCUGUUUGUCCCUGUGUCCUUCAGCUUCAGGUGGCUCCGCCCACACAGACCUGGUUACAAUGGCAGCAGACUCCACAGGUACAGACUCAGGUCAUCCAGCUAUGACAGAUCACACACAGAUGGCUGGUUCAGUCACUGAACAGUACAACCCAUCUGGUCAGGGUCCUGAAGGUGCAGAAAAUGUGGAACUGGAGGAUACCUGCUGACUUCCACAUCAAGCCGCGAGUUAGAUUCCUGCGCUACAGAUUCCAGUGUACCGACCAAUCAGUAUGGCCCAGGAAAUCAAACCCCUCCCACUAGCUACUAGCCCCGCCGACUCUGUUGUUUUCAAUAUUUAAGGUUUUUUUUAUAGAAGUUUAUUUUGUUUUAGAGAAUCGCUGUAAGUGGAAAUUAAUAAAAAGAGUCAGCCGAACCUCCACCAACCAUGGCCGAUUCUGUUUUGAUGACAUCAUACAGGAUGUGACAUCAUCGUCACUGUCAGGAUUUUAAAUUUCUACAAUAAAUGUUUGGGUUUUCUUUUUCUAUUUUGAACAUCAAACUGAGGAUUCGUCUUUUGUCUGGACUGAUCAGUUCUUCAUCAACAACCUGAUGAGAUCAUCAUCAUCAGGUUGUUUAUGUCAAUAAGAUUAAAUCAUUUUUAAAAAAAAAUUGUUUUUACUUCAUUUGAUGAGAUAAGCUGCAUUUGAAGAACAUUAAAUAUAAAUCUGCAUGAGAGGUGACUUCUUGAAACAGAACAGAAAGUUUGGUUUUUACCUGAAACACUUUGUGGAAACACUCGUCGUCUCUUCUCAAAUCAUUUUCUAAUAAAUAAAUGUUCAUUCAGUGAUGAACUAUUAUUUAAAAUCCAGACGAAAUAUAAACUCAAUAUAAACAGGUUUCUUUUUAAUUUUCUGGAAUAAUUUUGUUUUUGUUAUCGAUGAACAUCUUAUUUUGUCCUGUUUGAAGAUGUUGAAGAAAACACAACUCACCACUGCGUAUUUCUAAUUUAUUAAUUUUAUUUGUUUUAUUUAAUAUUCAUAAAUGCAGAUUUACAUGUAAAAAGCUUCUCAAACAGAAUUCUGACUCUCGUCAAUUAAAAACUAUUAACAUGUCAUUUUUAUAUAAAAUCUUUAUGUCUUGUGUCUCCUCUGUAAACCAUCGUCACCUACAUGUAUUCCCAUCGUUGUUUGUUACACAGUACAUGUACAAUUAUGUGAGUAGGUUCUUAAACACUUGAACUUAUGUUCUGAAGUCAGAUCUUUGUUUGAACUCCUCGUCUGUCAGCUAGAUGAAACUGAUGAGUAAACACAGUUAACGACAGGCUUUUAUGCUGAAGGGCUUCCUGUUUGGAGGGAAGUGAAGCCGAUGAAUCUGUUCUGAAAAAAAGCUGAGUGGCUAAAAUGGAGGUAAGGAUGUCAAAACAACCGAUGAGUCCACAUAUAUAUAUUGAUCAUCUGUCAAUCAAGUUAAAGGAAGAACUUUGUUUUUCAUGAGAACGACUGCUGCUUUUACACCUUCAGUACAACCACCACAGAAUUAACAUUAUUUCCAUAGUGAGGAGCAGACCGACUGAUUCUGGACCCGGUCACUCACCAAACAUGAACAAUAAGACCAUUUUUAUUUUUGGUCUUUUGAGGUCAAAAUUUUAACGUUCAUUCACAAGCAUUAACUCUGUUUCCGUGGCAACACGUGAGGGUGGGACCAGAAACUGAAACAGUAAUCACAACCCCAUCAGACUCACAUGUAAUGGAGUCGCUGUUCACGGCUCCACAAAACAGGACGAACCUCAGCAACAGGACAUCAACUGGACCUCUCAGCUCAGCUGUUAGCCAGAAAGCUAACGUUAUGCUAGCAGUAAAUAUCAUGUGACAGGAAGUUUAACAACAACACAAGCUGACAGUCAUGUGACCGUCCUCAGAUCAAUAAGAAGAUCACAACAGGUGAUUGUCAAUGUUAUUGUGGCUCAGACUGAAGCAGAGAGCUGAACUGCCAAUCAGAUGCAAGAUCAUGUCAGCUGGUGUGUCACAGUGCCAUCCUGACUAAUAAUCUGAUUGAUCACCUGAUCGACUAUCUGAUUGAUCACCUAAUUGUUGGAUCUUAACGAGAGACAAGCGCAAACACACCGAUGAACAUGUUUAUUGUGGAUCAAUAUUGACUGAAUAGAUCAAAUCAAUGCAUCUCUUUCUGCUUCCAGGUCGUCUCCACGGUAACAGGGGUCACUCAUAAUAAACCUUUCUAAAGAUAGUGAUCAUCUCUUUGUUUUUCUAACGUUACACCUGAACACAAAGACAACCAAUCAACAUGCAGAACCCAGAGAACACCUGCUGACCUCUGAUUGGUUCUCUGAGUGUCAAACAAACAUUUUAAAUAAAGUAGCGAAUAACAACAAACAAAGCUAAAAUAAAGUGGUAGAAGAGGACACGGGUAUAUAAACUGGUUAAUAUUGAUCAAAAAUAAAAACAUGACCUAUUGAUUGAUCUACAGCUGAUCGAUUGAUUUCAUAUUGCUGCUGCUGAGUCAGCGCUCAGACUGUCCUGUUGCUAUGGUGACUGAUU
rnacentral:lncRNA from 1 species